GGAUUUAAUUAGCACAAGCAGUUUGAUAACCAAGCUGCCUUGGUAAGAAUAAACAGAGCAAGAAGAUUGGAUCAAGGCUGGCCACAGGGAAGAAGACUGAAUCAGGAUGCCCACAGCUCCAAGAGGACACAGCAGGCAUCACCCAGCACCCCUGUGCUGAGGUGAAUGCAGGCAGCACAACCCUUGGCACCUUGUUGCACAUGCCAGCAAGAGACAUGGAGACACAAAAUUCCUUGUGGGAUGUACAUUCCCUGCUGCUCAGAGGGCUCCUGGUGGGGACAGGGCAG
rnacentral:lncRNA from 12 species